rnacentral:misc_RNA from 1 species
GGGGGGGGAGGGUGAGGGGAGGGGAGGAGAGGGGGCAGUGGGUGGGGUGGGAUAUAUGAUUUGAAGUUUAGAACAUUUUACAUAUAUGGCUUGCAUUCCAGUUUGAAAAUGGGAAGUAGAAUAAGAAGCAGCAUAAUAUAAACGCAUAUGCAUUUACUACUUAAUCACAUGCAUGCGUACAGAGGUAUGACUUUCUAAGAUGUUUCAUAUAUCAGUUCCCAUUCUCUGAAACCAUUAUCAGGCUCUCUGGGUGCUAAAUAAAUGGCCAAAACAAACUAUCCAUCUCAUGAGACUCAGCUAAAGAAACAUGCAUAUCAUUGAAGAAAAAUACAAGCAUAAUGACCACCAAACUAUAAUGAAAUGUUCAAAAGAGUAUCCAUUUCACUUUUAAGAAUUUAGUCCUAGGACAACCACUCCCCACCAAUUUCCCCCUUUUUUUUUUAAACUAGAAGUUAUGAUCUCUGGGAAUAUAAAAGAGAAACGACAGACUAUUACAAAUAAAAUCCAGCUUUAGAAUUCUUUUCAGAAAAAUAAGGGGACAAAAAAGUAAGCUGUAAAAAGAACUAACCCUUCAUCAACAAAUGGCCUUUUG